CCUACGGGUGACAGCAGUGAGGAAUAUUGGUCAAUGGACGAGAGUCUGAACCAGCCAAGUAGCGUGAAGGAUGACUGCCCUAUGGGUUGUAAACUUCUUUUAUAUGGGAAUAAAAUGUUCCACGUGUGGGAUUUUGUAUGUACCAUAUGAAUAAGUAUCGGCUAACUCCGUGCCAGCAGCCGCGGUAAUACGGAGGAUCCGAGCGUUAUCCGGAUUUAUUGGGUUUAAAGGGAGCGUAGGUGGAUUGUUAAGUCAGUUGUGAAAGUUUGCGGCUCAACCGUAAAAUUGCAGUUGAAACUGGCAGUCUUGAGUACAGUAGAGGUGGGCGGAAUUCGUGGUGUAGUGGUGAAAUGCUUAGAUAUCACGAAGAACUCCGAUUGCGAAGGCAGCUUACUGGACUGCAACUGACACUGAGGCUCGAAAGUGUGGGUAUCAAACAGGAUUAGAUACCCUGGUAGUC
rnacentral:rRNA from 1 species